CUGUUCAUAUUUAAUUGUAAUAUGAACCAAUGAUUUUUUGAUUGCUGAUUCUAAGAGAGUCUUUGUGGAAAUCCUGUUUGGCUUUUUGUCAUUUUAAUUCUCUUUUCCAUUUUCCAGAACAGUUCUCCACAGUCGCUGUCCACAUGGGUCAGUGGGACCAAGCAGCACUCUGCCAAUGUGUGGACUCUGACCAGCAACAUCCAGCAAGACCCAGGCAGCGUUUUCUAUCUCCCAGCUGGAGUUUUUUGUUUGUCUGUGACUGGAGAGUCAGAUUUUUGUUGAAGCUGGAGGAACAGAGAGGUUAAUACACGCUACUGAUCCCUGAUGGGAGAAUCAUCACCUCUGCCAACAAAGAAGCCUGGUGGAUAUUUGUUUACAGUCUGAUGAUGGGACAUCAUGCUCUGCAUCUUCAAAGUUUGUCUCUUGAUUAUUAUUCAUACACAGUAAUGUGAAGUAUGCUUAUAUCUACUAUAACUGAACCAACCUGGUGCUCUUCAUUUAUGGAGGCUGUUGAGUCUGAAUGUUGGAUGUUGUGUAUCUCGUGUUCUCUGGGCUUUGUUGUCCUCAGUCUUUUUGCAGGAUCAGAAAACAAAACCAGGAUGACCGUAAAUGUUUCUUCUCCAGUUGGAUGAUGAUAAGACCGUGACACAGUAUGCCACCUUUAGUCUUGUGAUGAAGCAAAGCUCAGGACGAAGUGUGAUUAAAUGGUACCCACAUGUGUGCUGCUGAGAAGGAUGUACAAGGGCACCUGCAGCCAAAUCCAAGCCUCCUCAGCAACUUCAAGUCUGUCAGCGUGCUGAGGUCACAGAAACAAGAAAAGAAGCUUGACUUCAGAGUGUUGUUUACAGUUUUCUAUCAUCAUGAUCUCCCCUGA